GGCAAGAAGGAAAGGGAAGCUGGCGAGGCAGCGCUGGGCUUGAGAGGCGAGGAGCCGUCAAGAGCUAGAGAGGAUGGAGCUGGGGGCGAGAAGAAAGGAAAGUGUCUAGUUAUUGGGACCUGGGGACGAGGUAAAGGAGAGAUGGCCUGUUCUCAGAGGGAAGGCCUGGGUACCCUUGAGCAAAGGUUAUCCUGAAGAGGGUUGGACUUAGAACUGCCCAGCCUGGCAUGCUGGCUUCUGAGUGGAGGGCAGCCUACUGCCCCACGCAGACCUGGUCCUUCCUGCAAAUCCAGAUGAGCCUCUGUGAAGAACACGUGAAGCUACCUUCUGCUCCCAUCAGGCUCAUGCUUGCACUGCAGAUUUCAGUGUGGCUCGAGCAGAGGAAACAUAAAUUGCCUGGUGAGCAGCCAGUCUGCGGUGUAUGCUAGCGCUUCUCCUGUAAAGAAGUUAAAUGAUGGAGCGCCUGACCCCUUAUGCUGGAGUUCUUCCACCUGCUUUGUAAUUAAGCAGCCCUUCAUGGUCCUGGGGGAAGCACGGGUGAGCUGCGUGCGCUACGCUGCAGUGCAGUUUUCAAGCAAACUUCCUCCGUGGGCCUGCCCAGGAGAUUCCCCAG
rnacentral:lncRNA from 1 species